rnacentral:misc_RNA from 1 species
UACGGAGGGUGCAAGCGUUGUCCGGAAUCACUGGGUGUAAAGGGUGUGUAGGCGGAUCAAUAAGUCAGGGGUGAAAUCCCGCAGCUCAACUGUGGAACUGCCUUUGAUACUGCUGAUCUUGAGUAUCGGAGAGGUCACCAGAAUUCGUGGUGUAGCGGUGAAAUGCGUAGAUAUCACGAGGAAUACCUGAGGCGUAGGCGGGUGACUGGACGAUUACUGACGCUGAGGCACGAAAGCGUGGGGAGCAAACAGG